rnacentral:rRNA from 1 species
GAUCACCUACGGGGCGCAGCAGUGGGGGAUAUUGCACAAUGGGGGAAACCCUGAUGCAGCGACGCCGCGUGAGCGAUGAAGUAUUUCGGUAUGUAAAGCUCUAUCAGCAGGGAAGAAAAUGACGAUAUCUGACUAAGAAGCCCCGGCUAACUACGUGCCAGCGGCCGCGGUAAUACGUAGGGGGCAAGCGUUAUCCGGAUUUACUGGGUGUAAAGGGAGCGUAGACGGCAGUGCAAGUCUGAAGUGAAAGGCAAGGGCUCAACCCUUGGACUGCUUUGGAAACUGUGCUGCUCGAGUGUCGGAGG